CCUACGGGUGGCAGCAGUCGAGAAUCAUUCACAAUGGGGGAAACCCUGAUGGUGCGACGCCGCGUGGGGGAAUGAAGGUCUUCGGAUUGUAAACCCCUGUCAUGUGGGAGCAAAUUAAAAAGAUAGUACCACAAGAGGAAGAGACGGCUAACUCUGUGCCAGCAGCCGCGGUAAUACAGAGGUCUCAAGCGUUGUACGGAAUCACUGGGCGUAAGGCGUGCGUAGGCGGUUUCGUAAGUCGUGUGUGAAAGGCGCGGGCUCAACCCGCGGACGGCACAUGAUACUGCGAGACUAGAGUAAUGGAGGGGAGACCGGAAUUCUCGGUGUAGCAGUGAAAUGCGUAGAUAUCGGGAGGAACACUCGUGGCGAAGGCGGGUUCCUGGACAUUAACUGACGCUGAGGCACGAAGGCCAGGGGAGCGAAAGGGAUUAGAUACCCGAGUAGUC
rnacentral:rRNA from 1 species